rnacentral:ncRNA from 1 species
UCUUAUCAAGAGAGGUGGAGGGACUGGCCCUAUGAAACCCAGCAACCAACUUAGAGUGGUUAAUAUAUAUAGUAAAACAAUUUUAUUUAUAUAUCUUGUUUUAUUAAAUAUUUAUUUAUCUAAGAACUGGUGCUAAUUCCAGCCGUAUAUUUUAUGGAGAGAUAAGA